AUGCUCACUUCAGCAGCACAUGUACUAAAAUUGGAAUUAUACAGAGAAGAUUAGCAUGGCCCUUGUUCAAGAAUGACACAGAAAUUAGUGAAGAAUCUUUUGAUAGU